GCCACUAUUCCGCAGUUUCAGCUGCGCGCUGCUCUCCUACUUCAGUGACUCACGAAACGCCACAGAUUGAACAACAGCCUCCUGACAUGACAGCUCUUCUUGAGACAUAGUCAUCCAAUUUGGAUGGAACAACUUCGUGACCUUAAUGACACCCAGCAACACGAGACGCACACAAGCACCACAGGGGAGGAUCUGCAGCAAAGGGCCCACCGGAAAUCGAACCUUGGCCGCUAUGAUGACGACAACAUGGGGCACUUGAGUGUGAAUCUAGCCUUUUCAUUUUGAUUUACAACCUUGGCAUUGAAAAGAGCAAAAGUUGAUGCUUGAGAUGAUUUUGGUUUUACUGAAGAGGA